rnacentral:rRNA from 1 species
UGGGCCUACGGGAGGCAGCAGUGAGGAAUAUUGGUCAAUGGGCGAGAGCCUGAACCAGCCAAGUCGCGUGAAGGAUGACGGCCCUACGGGUUGUAAACUUCUUUUGUCAGGGAGCAAUUGGGUCCACGCGUGGGCUUAGCGGGAGUACCUGAAGAAAAAGCAUCGGCUAACUCCGUGCCAGCAGCCGCGGUAAUACGGAGGAUGCGAGCGUUAUCCGGAUUUAUUGGGUUUAAAGGGAGCGUAGACGGUGCGCCAAGUCUGGAGUGAAAUGCCGCAGCUUAACUGCGGAACUGCUUUGGAAACUG